AUACGUAGAUGGCAAGCGUUAUCCGGAAUGACUGGGCGUAAAGGGUGCGUAGGCGGUUGUUUAAGUCAGAUGUGAAAAUCCCGGGCUCAACCUGGGAACUGCAUUUGGAACUGGACGACUUGAGUGCAGGAGAGGAAAGUGGAAUUCCUAGUGUAGCGGUGAAAUGCGUAGAUAUUAGGAGGAACACCAGUGGCGAAGGCGACUUUCUGGACUGUAACUGACGCUGAGGCACGAAAGCGUGGGGAGCGAACAGGAUUAGAUACCCUGGUAGUCCACACAGUAAACGAUGAAUACUCGCUGUUUGCGAUAUACAGUAAGCGGCCAAGCGAAAGCGUUAAGUAUUCCACCUGGGGAGUACGCCGACAACGGUGA
rnacentral:rRNA from 1 species